rnacentral:lncRNA from 1 species
AAAAAUCAUCAACCUACUCCCCACAAAAAUCAAAAUCUGAAUUUGAAAUCAUUCCACUCCCAUAAAAAAUCAAAAUCCUAACUUGUUUUUGCUCCUUUUGUGAACUGUUUUAGACCUCUUUCUUGGAUUUGGAUUUGGAUCGGAAGAAAAGAAGAAAUAUGGUUGGAUUGAGUUAAAAAAAUCCCAACUUGCACACUACCCAUUUUUUUCAAUCCAAUUAUUACUCCUCCCAAACCAAACAUCCCAACGAUAUCCACAGAGGAAGAUAGCAUGGGAUAUUGAUUGAUGGGGAAAAAAGAAAAUCAAAGUGUGAGUAUGGCUUAUGUUUGGUGGAUUGCGGAUUGUGUUUAAUUUUCGUGGGUUUGAUUUUUUACUGGGAUUCUAGGUUUUGAUGGAGGAGAACUUUAAAAACCAAAUUGGUUUUGAGUGUGAAUGAAACUCAGAUCUAAUUUUUAGGAUGUUUUUG